rnacentral:rRNA from 1 species
GGGCCCGCACAAGCGGUGGAGCAUGUGGCUUAAUUCGAGGCAACGCGAAGAACCUUACCUGGUCUUGACAUGCCCGUCAUAGUUUUCCGAAAGGAAUUCGUCGGUUCGGCCGGACGGUGCACAGGUGCUGCAUGGCUGUCGUCAGCUCGUGUCGUGAGAUGUUCGGUUAAGUCCGGCAACGAGCGCAACCCUCGUUCCUAGUUGCCAGCGGGUAAUGCCGGGGACUCUAGGAAGACAAACCUCGUGUAGAGGUGGGAAGGUGGGGACGACGUCAAGUCAGUAUGGCCCUUACGACCAGGGCUGCACACGUGCUACAAUGCUCGGUACAAUGGGAUGCAAUACCGCGAGGUUGAGCCAAUCCAUAAACCGAGCCCAGUUCGGAUUGGAGUCUGCAACUCGACUCCAUGAAGUUGGAAUCGCUAGUAAUGG